GAUGAACGCUAGCGGCAGGCUUAAUACAUGCAAGUCGUGGGGCAGCAUGAAUGUAGCAAUACAUUUGAUGGCGACCGGCAAACGGGUGCGGAACACGUACACAACCUUCCUAUAAGUGGGGAAUAGCCCAGAGAAAUUUGGAUUAAUACCCCGUAACAUAAUGAUGUGGCAUCACAUUAUUAUUAUAGCUACGGCGCUUAUUGAUGGGUGUGCGGCUGAUUAGAUAGUUGGCGGGGUAACGGCCCACCAAGUCUACGAUCAGUAGCUGAUGUGAGAGCAUGAUCAGCCACACGGGCACUGAGACACGGGCCCGACUCCUACGGGAGGCAGCAGUAAGGAAUAUUGGUCAAUGGACGCAAGUCUGAACCAGCCAUGCCGUGUGAAGGAUUAAGGUCCUCUGGAUUGUAAACUUCUUUUAUCUGGGACGAAAAAAGGCGAUUCUUCGUCACUUGACGGUACCAGAUGAAUAAGCACCGGCUAACUCCGUGCCAGCAGCCGCCGUAACAC
rnacentral:rRNA from 1 species